GCCCUCGUAGUUCAAUGGAUAGAACAGCGCCGUCCUAAGACGAUAAUGCAGGUUCGAUUCCUGCCGAGGGCACCA
rnacentral:tRNA from 1 species